rnacentral:rRNA from 1 species
UACGAAGGUGGCAAGCGUUGUCCGGAUUUACUGGGCGUAAAGAGCGCGCAGGCGGUCGGUCAAGUCGCGUGUGAAAGCCCCCGGCUCAACUGGGGAGGGUCACGCGAUACUGAUCGACUCGAAGGCAGGAGAGGGCAGCGGAAUUCCCGGUGUAGAGGUGAAAUUCGUAGAUAUCGGGAGGAACACCAGUGGCGAAGGCGGCUGCCUGGCCAAAUACUGACGCUAAAGCGCGAAAGCGUGGGGAGCAAACAGG